rnacentral:lncRNA from 1 species
AAAAAAUAUAGAGAGAGAAGAAUCAACCCAAGGCAAAAGAAUCCAAAAAGUUGUAUGGAAUGCAGCUGCUGAGAAAAAGUUAAAAAAAUGGCUCAUAUUUGCUUUUGAAUGGCUUUUCAUAUAUUCUUUAUGUUUUGUCAUGAAUUUAAAAGUAAACUAAGUUAAUAUAACAAGAAAGCAUAUGUUGGUUAAGAAUUUAUGUGGCUUGAGAGAGGUGGAUCUAUUUUAUCACUGUUAUUGAGUAACAGUGCAACAUGUUAUCAAUUUACUUUUUCACAACUGAGUUUGUCAAACUAUAUUUUCAUUUGUGAGACUUGUCGGAUGCAACAAAACUUAAUAAUGAGAAUUGUGGAUAAACUAAAUAAAUCCAAUUUUGAGAAAAAUAAUCUUAUUGCCUUUGGUACCUGCUACAACAUUGAGAUGAAACUUGCAAGCCAAAUUGGUGGUUUAUUACUAGAAAUGUUUUUACAUUCUCUGAAAUCUCACUUGGGAAUUUGGGACUCCCAUGUUUGGCUGAAGAUUUAGAAGAAAAAAACCGGUCAAAAUGAAAAUAACAUAUCCAGGAAUUUGAAAAUGUGAAGGUGGGAAUGUUGGAUUCUCACCUCUUUAGAUGAGAAUGUUAGUUUUUGGUGUUAAUUGAUUUUGUAUCCUUCUCUUUCCAUUCUCUUAUUGUUUUUUAACCGAGGGUAGUUUUUAACAGUCAGUCACAUUCAUACGAACGUUUAAUAUCUAACCAAAUAUGAGCCAAAUACGGGAAUGUAUCUUACCCCGGGCAUUACAUCUCUUGACCAGUAGUCACUUUCUUGGGGAUGUGCUAAAAAAGCAUUCCUUAUACCAAACAGUAAACAUCACCAUAGAGCAUGUGGUGAGCUCAGAACUGGUAUCAGGAUUUAAUAUUGAGGUCUAGUCCUUAUUUUGCAGACUAAAAUUCUUCUUGGUGAUUUUGGUGCUAACAUGAUCAAAAUAUCUUCCCGCGAAUGCUAACUAACUUAAAAAGAAAGAGUCCUUCAGUGAUUGAAUUAUCUAAUAGACAUUAAACUAUAAUUAGUAUGAUUGCAUUUUUAAUUACAAUACCUGGGCUAGUAGUGCAUGAUUUCUUGCAAACAAUUUGCUGUAAUUCUAAAGUUAUUCAAAUUCUGAUGGAUGCAAUCUGUAUCACGAGUUUAAACUUCGAUUCUGAUUCUAGAAUCCCAGCAGAAAAUGAUAUUGUCGUGGAUAUAAAUUCUGGUCACAUCAGUGCUGUAUAAAACCAAUGCUUUUGCAUUUGUGAGUUGUUUUGCAGAUUCUAGCUACUCAUAGAUGAUUAUCCUGUUUUUAACAUUAGUUGAAGUGAAAAUGAAGUACAGUUGUUGAUAUUUGAUAGAUCUCACUUUUUGAAAAUCCACAGAAAAUGUGUUUUUGCAAUUUUAUUCUGCAGCCCACUGGCUAUCACGAAUCGUUUUUUCUUGUAUGAUGAUGGAAUCGAAAGGUUUGAACAAUUUUAUUGAAUUCAGAAAUGAUAGAACUGUAAGAAAUUUUCACCAAACAAAUGGCUAACUCCCUACCAAGCUAUGCUGCUCGGAAAUAUAUCUGCCCAUAGCUAGAAGCAGAGAGGAAUAAGAGAAGAAUCAUCCUGCCCCCUUGGCUUACUCUUCCUAUACAACUAAUCUCCCUCUCACCUAUUGCUGUACCCAUAAUGGAAAAUUGAAAUGCAAAAGAUAAACUUAUUAUAUAUCGGAGAAUGCUAACAAGGGCCUUUCGAACAUUGUUUAAGGAACCGAAAAGGGUUGUUUUGUAUUGGAAAUGGUGUGUUUAACCUAUCUAGAACUAUCGAACUUAGUUUUUAACACUAACUCACUCUUUUUGUAUUCCUUAUCAAAGUGCCCUUAGGACAAUCGUUAGCAAAACCCUCAUGCACUUAGGCUUCGUAGGUCAAUUCUGGGCUGCUACUAACUGGUCUCUUAUCAUAUAACCUGUCCUUUCCUGAAGAAUGAACUCUUUAAAACUACUGCGGACUGGUGAAGUGUGUGGUUAUGCUCAAUGUAUCGUGUUCUAUAUUAGAAGAGCUAUUUUUCCUACAAGCCACAAAAUUUGUGAAUUAGCAUGCACUUGUUCAUUAAUGUUUAAGGGCCAAGGCUGAAAGGGGUGAAAAUGAAACAAGAAAGAAAGUUUUUGAUCUAAAUUCUGUUGAAUUGGUUAUCUGAGUUUGGUUACACAGUGCUGUCUAUAUUUGUAGUACUGCUAACUUCUGUUCUAACUAACUCAA